CUCACAUUUAGUCUAUAGACCCUUUCCUUUACUUAACUUGGAAAUCACCCUCAUUGAUCUUAUUGAAAUAGAUGUAAAGACAAUAGAAUUGUGCUCUACCAUCUUUGUUUUAAAUACAGUACACAAGCCUGAUAGUCCAUCUGGAAAAUUAGAACACAAGGUAACUGUUUAUUAUGCCUCGUGUGUAUCCAUGUAUGUGUUUCCUGUGACCCAGCCAGUUGGCAUUUCCUUUGCAAGAAAUAUUCUGGAUUAUGUGAUACAAAUUACAAGAACUUUUAGAAAUACUCGGCCUCAGGACUCCCGAUAA
rnacentral:lncRNA from 1 species